CCUACGGGUGGCAGCAGUGGGGAAUAUUGCACAAUGGGCGCAAGCCUGAUGCAGCCAUGCCGCGUGUGUGAAGAAGGCCUUCGGGUUGUAAAGCACUUUCAGCGGGGAGGAAGGCGUUAAGGUUAAUAACCUUGGCGAUUGACGUUACCCGCAGAAGAAGCACCGGCUAACUCCGUGCCAGCAGCCGCGGUAAUACGGAGGGUGCAAGCGUUAAUCGGAAUUACUGGGCGUAAAGCGCACGCAGGCGGUCUGUCAAGUCGGAUGUGAAAUCCCCGGGCUCAACCUGGGAACUGCAUUCGAAACUGGCAGGCUAGAGUCUUGUAGAGGGGGGUAGAAGUCCAGGUGUAGCGGUGAAAUGCGUAGAGAUCUGGAGGAAUACCGGUGGCGAAGGCGGCCCCCUGGACAAAGACUGACGCUCAGGUGCGAAAGCGUGGGGAGCAAACAGGAUUAGAUACCCCAGUAGUC
rnacentral:rRNA from 1 species